AACGAACGCUGGCGGCAUGCCUAACACAUGCAAGUCGAACGAUGCCUUCGGGCAUAGUGGCGCACGGGUGCGUAACGCGUGGGAAUCUGCCUUCCGGUUCGGAAUAACUCAGGGAAACUUGAGCUAAUACCGGAUAACGUCGCAAGACCAAAGAUUUAUCACCGAAAGAUGAGCCCGCGUAGGAUUAGCUAGUUGGUGAGGUAAAGGCUCACCAAGGCGACGAUCCUUAGCUGGUCUGAGAGGAUGAUCAGCCACACUGGGACUGAGACACGGCCCAGACUCCUACGGGAGGCAGCAGUGGGGAAUAUUGGACAAUGGGCGAAAGCCUGAUCCAGCAAUGCCGCGUGAGUGAUGAAGGCCUUAGGGUUGUAAAGCUCUUUUACCCGGGAAGAUAAUGACGGUACCGGGAGAAUAAGCCCCGGCUAACUCCGUG
rnacentral:rRNA from 1 species